GCCUCGCAGCAACAGCAAAAUUCCGUGUGUGUGGACAGAGGAGGGUCAAGGAAGAUCAGACCUUCAAGGCGAGGGAUGGAAUAGGAUUUCCUGGUUGGCAAGCAGUGGUAUAGGGGGCAGGGCCCCAGGGGCAGAGGAAGGGGUCUAGCUCAGAAAGCGCGGAGAACCAGGCGCUGGGACAAUAUAAGGAGCGGAUAAAAGACGACGGAAAGCAGGCCUUGAGGUCCCACGUCAGACUUUGGGAACACAAACACCGCAAGAUUCUAACAGCACAAUUUGCGACUCUCUCCCCCAGAUAUCUUUUAUUGUGGAACUACGCUGGAAAUCUUAGAAGUGUUAUGGAGAUUAAUUACUAGUUCCAAAGAUGAUCUACUGAAUGGAGUUCCUUUCUGCUGUUUGUAUCGGCCAUGACCAGGAAAUGCAUAUAUAGACUUAGUGUGGCUACAAAGGCACCAGGAGCCCAGUGUCACAAGAAUGCCUACUUUCCACCCAUUUUCCUUGAGUAUGCGUCGAAGGAAGGACCACGGCAGGAGCAAUGAUUGCGCUGUGCCCAUGAUGUGUGGCUAAAAGUGUACUCUCAGC